rnacentral:rRNA from 1 species
ACAGGGAUUGCCCUAGUAACGGCGAGUGAAGCGGCAACAGCUCAAAUUUGAAAUCUGGCCCUCGGGUCCGAAUUGUAAUUUGUAGAGGAUGCUUUUGGUGCGGUGCCUUCCGAGUUCCCUGGAACGGGACGCCAGAGAGGGUGAGAGCCCCGUACGGUUGGACACCUACCCUAUAUAUAGCUCCUUCGACGAGUCGAGUAGUUUGGGAAUGCUGCUCUAAAUGGGAGGUAAAUUUCUUCUAAAGCUAAAUACCGGCCAGAGACCGAUAGCGCACAAGUAGAGUGAUCGAAAGAUGAAAAGCACUUUGAAAAGAGGGUUAAAUAGCACGUGAAAUUGUUGAAAGGGAAGCGUUUGUGACCAGACUUUUUCCUAGUGGAUCAUCCGGUGUUCUCACCGGUGCACUUCACUGGGUUUAGGCCAGCAUCGGUUUCCGGAGGGGGACAAAAGCAUGGGGAAUGUGGCUCUUUCGGGAGUGUUAUAGCCCCUAGCAUAAUACCUCUCCUGGGGACCGAGGACCGCGCUUCGGCAAGGAUGCUGGCGUAAUGGUUAUCAACGACCCGUCUUGAAACACGGACCAAGGAGUCGAACAUUUGUGCGAGUGUUUGGGUAUCAAACCCUCACGCGUAAUGAAAGUGAACGGAGGUGAGAGCCCUUCGGGGUGCAUCAUCGACCGAUCCUGAUGUCUUCGGAUGGAUUUGAGUAAGAGCAUAACUGUUCGGACCCGAAAGAUGGUGAACUAUGCGUGGAUAGGGUGAAGCCAGAGGAAACUCUGGUGGAGGCUCGCAGCGGUUCUGACGUGCAAAUCGAUCGUCAAAUCUGCGCAUGGGGGCGAAAGACUUAUCGAACCAUCUAGUAGCUGGUUACUGCCGAAGUCCCCCUCCGAAGAAUUGUU